AUCAGUAACAGGAUUUAUUUAAUUUAACAAAUUUCUCUUCUGUAUUUUGUCUGAAAUCUCUGCAAGAGAUGUCCAAACAGAAGGUUGGCAGCACAACAAAGAAAGAGCCUGUUUUUGCAUUUUCAACGUUAAGUAUUAAAUACAAUAAAUAAUGCAUUUUCCGUGUAAAAGAAAAUGUUAUAAUUAUUAUUAUUAUUAUUAUUAUUAUUACCUACUUACGGUAUUAUAUUUAUUAUUAUUAAUGUUAUUAUUUUAGGUGCCAAAUUCAACACAUACCAAAAGUACCUGACAGGAGUUUUGCAGUUUUGUGUUAGAAAAACAGGGAGAAACUCCAAAGGAACCUGAGCGACAGUUGGCUACUGAAGAACAUGGGGUCUGAAAUUUCCUCUGCUAACUUCAUGAGGUCCACUUACAGCGUGUUUAGCCCUAUCAGACCCCAGGAUGUGAGGAACAGGAGCUUCCUGGAGGGCAGUGUGCUGGGAAGCGGUACUCUGCUAGGGGCUGAGGAAUCACUACUUCCCCGACAAGAGGGUAGACCUCUACAUCAUGCAGGGAGAAAAGGGGGGCUUCCAUUCAACUUCGAUGAUCUACUCCUUCCAGCAGACACUGAACUUGAUCAAGAUUUUUACGUUAUCGGGGUUCAGGAGGGCUGCCCUCAAUGGGGGAAGUGGAAGACCCAUCUUUAGGAGACUCUGAGACCUUACUGUGUUGCACUGUAGCACAUGGUGUUUUUGUAUUCUUAUUAGUUUUGGCACUUCAGCUGUUCAGCUGACACCUACCUCCUCGCACCAGUUGCAGUCAUAAAAAUUGAAAAUAUUCAAAUAGUGGAUCUCAUCUCUGAUGCUUUUGAUUACUUUUGGAUAUUAUGAAAAGGCAUCAAUAUGAAUUCCAUCAAAUAAAAAAACAACUCCUCAGUGUCAUGUUAUGGAGAACAGAGCAAACCUUGAGAUGGGCACAUAAGGGCGCAAAGAGAAGCAGACAAAGUGAUGCAUCAAUCCUGCAUAGUGCCUUCUGUACGAGCCUUUAGGGGUGGUGUUAGGAGCUGGGGGUGCUUCCUGUGGUCAGGUCAGGGCUUGGUAACACUACGUGCCUUAAAGAUGAGCUCAGAUGACUUUCUGAAUAACCAUUUUUUCCAUUAAUGCAUUAUUUCUUUCUUGAUGACACAGACUUAUUCCAAGCUGACAGUGCCAGGAUUCAUUGGGCUGAGAUUAUCAGAGUGGAUAGGGAGCGAGAGAUAUUUUCACACAUGGAUUGGCUACCUCAGAAACUAGACCUCGACCCCAUCAGGAGUCUCUGGGAUGUGCUGGAGAAGACUUUGCUCAGCUGUCUGACUCUCACAUCAUUAAUGCAAGAUCUUGGCAAUGAAUUACUCAGAAUCAGGAUGAAAACGAGUGUGACUUUGCAUAAACU